rnacentral:lncRNA from 1 species
UGACGAUACGGGCACAAUGAAUUUUUGGGCUCGGAUACAGUCCAUCUAAUACUCAAGCUUUGACCAUGCCGAGUCCAAUCCUAGUUUCGUGAGCUUUGAGUAGCCUAGACAAGCCAAGUCAUGAGUCUGCUCGGCUAGGCUUGUUCCAACCCCUAGCAACUGCCUUUAGCCGGACACCCCGUGUCUUGCUUUCAUUUUUCACAAGGACCAUUGGUGGAGGUAGCUACAUUUUUCCCAAUGCCUCCUACUCCAAGUGCCACUAACCUCACGUGGGUAAUAAUUAAUAUACCUUGGAUCCAUAUGCCAUAGCAGAAGAACAAAAGAGGAUCUUGAUCAUACCGUGGUGUUGUAUCUUGGACAAUAUAUAUAGAGAGAGUUCAGGGCUUGUAAUGGGCUUGUGCAGACUAGCUAAAUAAAAUGUAGCGUGCAGGUACACAAGCUUGAAUGCCCUAGUUUUGUACAACUCUCAACCACCCGCAGUCAAUGAUACAAUUGGUUUCUUUACGAGCACUCAGAUGCCCUCACACUAGUGCAGAAUGGACUAUUAAGCCACGCUUAUCGCAUACCCUAGCGUGGGACAUCACAUUCGUUACAACACAUGAUUUAUAAAAGGUAGCCGUGUGCAAUACGAACUACACAAUUUGGUCGUCCGACGAAUAUAUAUGUGAUAACUUCUAAUAGCGCACACGGUUGUUUUGCUAGAAUCAUGUGUGCUAUAUGGCAAACGAAUAGAUAAAAAAAAUGAAUCGUGUAUGAUGAUGGGGCACAUCGCACAUGUUACGUAAUAUGCUCAUCGUUUGUGAAGUUUCGCACAAGUUUUUUUCGAAGGGCAACUCGUGGCAGCGCACUUGGCGGGUCAGAUGCUGCAGAUUGGUGGCGGUGGCUGGCAGACGGUGGCGGGGUCUUGGCAAUCCCGCGACGCGUCGUAAACAACAUCUUCCUCCUGGCGCAUCAAUACUUGGACACCAUUACGCCCAUGAUUAACGCGGUGCCUCCUUGCGCCCGUGGCUCCACGACGACUACCUCGACACUGGCCACUCCAACUCGACAUCGACCAUGACGUUCUUCGCAUGGCUACCUCGACCAUGCUACAUCACCACUCUCUUGGCUACCUCGACAUCGGCAUAAAGGGCUAUCACCUCGCUUGAGCAACUCAUCGACUUCCUCUACUUUCCACGCGUCCGCGAUGCGACACCGCCCCCGGCGGUUCCGUUGCAACUGCAGGAGGAUGUUAGCCCGUCGGCUGUUAUUCUCUCCAGUUUGACUCUCCGCGACGUUUCCGUUGUUUGCAACGCUACCGCUGCGACUACACUGAGGGGGGGGGGGGGGGGGG